AUUCUACUCCCUCCGUUCGGAAUUAUUUGUCAUAAAAAUGGAUGUGUCUAGAUUUAUUUUAGUUCUAGAUACAUCCAUUUUCGAGACAAGUAAUUCCGAACGGAGGGAGUAUAAU
rfam:Triticum aestivum genome assembly, contig: Triticum_aestivum_CS42_TGACv1_scaffold_570875_7AS